AAAAUGAUUACUGAUAAAAUUACUGCUUUAAACAAACGCAAGACGCAUUCAGGAUACAAAUUUUUAUUCCAUAGUUAAUUGUGACACUUAUGCUACAAUAACUUGACUGAAUCUUUUGUGUAAAAUCCUUAAUAGUCCAUUUAUACAAAUACAAAACUCAAACUCAGGUAGAACAAAUGGCUACAGCCAUGAUUUAUCCAAUAUUAUAAACAAAACUUAAAGAUAAAACAGAAACGAGCAAACAUAACAGAGAAAAUCAAACUAACUAUAGAAUUUGAUGAUUUUCAGAAAUGUAAGAAACACCAUUUAAUAAACUGAUAUGCUCAAGAUUUUGACUUAAUCAAAUAACUUGAUGUUCCUUCAUUUCACUUGUCAAGGAGGUGAAAAAUAACUGAAAAUAAAAAGGGAACCAAAAGAAGUGAACAAUCAGUAGACAGCAGCAGUAGAAUCAGCUUUAACAAACCCAGCAAUAAAAAAUAGAUUCAGCCUCUUCCAAAGCAAUAAAGACCCCAGAUGAACAACCAGCUUAUGAGUCCUAAAACUCCGAUUAUCUAAUCAGUUCUAAGGUAGAAUUUAACCAAUUUGUACCAAGUAAAUAUAGGUGAUAUUAUUGCAUGCGAUUGUAUUUAUGUUUUCUAUGUUUAGAUAAUUAUUUACGCUAUUUCUGCGGGAGUUACUAAUGCUCUAUUGUUUUUAUUUUUGGCUUUGUUUUUGUUUUACAGCUGUUUUUCCUUUAAUCCUAUGCGCCGAGGGUCGAUUGGAAACAGCCUCUCUGCCCUUUCGGGUAGGGGUAACGCUCGCCUACAUAUUACCUGCUCCCCAGACCCCACCUAGUGGGAGUAUACUGGGUAGUUGUUGUUGUUGUACCAAGUAAAUAUAGGAGUUUUAACUAUUCUCUCAAACUUUUAGAAAUACUCAACCGUUUUGCUUUUUCAAUAUUUUUCAUUCUUUGAAUUUCUCUUGACUUGUGAGUGAAGAAAACACUACCUUUACAGGCUAGUCAUAGGGCAACAGAAAAUGAUUUUAGUUUUGCACUUUUAUCCUUUUGAAAUUUUAAUUUUUGCUAUUAUAACCUUAGUUCAAAAAUUUUGUUUUUCAGUUUAGUCCCAAUGCCACCUUCCAAUAAGCUUCCUAAAUCAGUUAUGAAUAUAUUCCCUAGCCUAAAUUACUAUACUAUCCCUUAAACCCUUGCAUAUUACAUCCGGGACCCAGACGGGUCAAAUUCAACCCAUGGUUCAGUCAGGCAUGGGCUCAGUUCCGACCCAAUAACAAAAAUAAACACCCCGAAGUGUUUCUAAUAUGGCCUUAAAGCCCAAACAGCAAGAAUGAAACAAACAAAAUCAAUGAUUUAUGACAAGCCGAAGAAAACACUUAAACGGCUUAAAAAACUAAAACCCAAGUUAAGUGACAGAUUAAUAUGGAAUUCACUACGUUAUUAAAUCAAAAUAAACUAACUUAAUUGACUAUAAUGCUAAACAAAAAUCAUGAUGAAAACUGAACAGACCUUUGCGAAAAACAAAAUGAAUCAAGAAAAAAAACUUUAAAGAAAAAUAAGCACAAAUUAGUCCAGAAGGGAGGUCCUAGGUUAAGAAUCUUGGUCGAGUUUCAGUUGAAUUGGAAACAUAACCAGAGAAAACAAGAAGAAGAAAAGAAGAAGAAUAAGAGGUGAAAUAAAAUAAAAUGGACAAAAAUAUGAAGAGAACUUACCUUAUAAAAAAUAAAAACCCAACAGAGACCAUUUAUUUAACGAAACUAAUGUUAAUCAUUUGUUCCUUGUCGAGAACAAAUGAAAAACAUCAGUUUUCGUUGAAUCAAAACUUCAUACUCGAAGAAAACAACAACCUAUGGUCAUGCAUGCCACCGGGUUCAACGAAAAAUGAUUUUGGGACAUCAAGGGUUCGAACUCAUAUUUAAUAUUUAAGGAGUUUUGGAGAGAUUCGAGGGAAGAUAGUAAUGGAUUGUGAAAGGGGAGGGUGCCGAUUUCGGACCAGUCAGAGGUAGGGCCGCCGGCUUGAGGUGGCUGAAAAUUAGGGCAGUUCUAGGGCUCUUGUUAGUCUUUGAAAAGGGGUGAUGAAGAGUGAGG
rnacentral:lncRNA from 1 species